rnacentral:rRNA from 1 species
GAUGAACGCUGGCGGCGUGCCUAAUACAUGCAAGUCGAGCGAACAGACGAGGAGCUUGCUCCUCUGACGUUAGCGGCGGACGGGUGAGUAACACGUGGAUAACCUACCUAUAAGACUGGGAUAACUUCGGGAAACCGGAGCUAAUACCGGAUAAUAUAUUGAACCGCAUGGUUCAAUAGUGAAAGACGGUUUUGCUGUCACUUAUAGAUGGAUCCGCGCCGUAUUAGCUAGUUGGUAAGGUAACGGCUUACCAAGGCAACGAUGCGUAGCCGACCUGAGAGGGUGAUCGGCCACACUGGAACUGGGACACGGUCCAGACUCCUACGGGAGGCAGCAGUAGGGAAUCUUCCGCAAUGGGCGAAAGCCUGACGGAGCAACGCCGCGUGAGUGAUGAAGGUCUUCGGAUCGUAAAACUCUGUUAUUAGGGAAGAACAAAUGUGUAAGUAACUAUGCACGUCUUGACGGUACCUAAUCAGAAAGCCACGGCUAACUACGUG